AUUGAACGCUGGCGGCAGGCCUAACACAUGCAAGUCGAGCGAGCGGCGGACGGGUGAGUAAUGUAUGGGGACCUGCCCGAUAUAGGGGGAUAACUACUGGAAACGGGGGCUAAUACCGCAUACUAUCGGAUGAACCCAGAUGGGAUUAGCUAGUAGGUGGGGUAAAGGCUAACCUAGGCGACGAUCUCUAGCUGGUCUGAGAGGAUGAGCAGCCACACUGGAACUGAGACGCGGCCCGGACCCCGCCGGUAGGCAGGGGUGGAGAAUAGUGCACAAUGGGCGCAGGCCUGACGCGGCCAUGCCGCGUGUCUGAAGAAGGGCUUAGGGUUGUAAAGUACUUUUAGCGUUGAAGCGUUACCCGCUGAAGAAGCACCGGCUAACUCCGUGCCAGCCGCCGCGGUAAUUC
rnacentral:rRNA from 1 species